GUGGAUUAGAUACCCUGGUAGUCCACGCCGUAAACGAUGAGCACUAGGUGUCGCGGGUAUUGACCCCUGCGGUGCCGACGCUAACGCAUUAAGUGCUCCGCCUGGGGACUACGGCCGCAAGGUUAAAACUCAAAGGAAUUGACGGGGGCCCGCACAAGCGGUGGAGCAUGUGGUUCAAUUCGACGCAACGCGAAGAACCUUACCUGGGCUAGACAACGGAGGCCCGCCCCAGAGAUGGGGUUUUCCCUUCGGGGACUUCCGGUUCAGGUGCUGCAUGGUUGUCGUCAACU
rnacentral:rRNA from 1 species